AUUGAACGCUGGCGGCAGGCCUAACACAUGCAAGUCGAACGGUAACAGGAAACCGCUUGCUGUUUCGCUGAGGAGUGGCGGGCGAGUGGGCCAUGUCUGGGAAACUGCCUGAUGGAGGGGGUUACCUACCGGGAACGGUUGCUAAUACCGCAUAACGUCCCAAGGCCAAAGAGGCGGACCUUCUGUCCUUUUGUCUUAAGCUGAGCCCAGAUGGGGUUAGCUAGUAGGAGGGGUAACGGCAGGCCUAGGCGGUGAGCUUUAACUGGUAUGAGAGGAUGACUCGCCACACUGUAACUGAGACUGGGCCCAGACUCUGACGGGAGGAAGCAGUGGGGAAUAUUGCACAAUGGGCGAAAGCGUGAUACUGCAAUGCCGCGUGUAUGAAGAAGGAGUUCGGGUUGUAAAGUACUUUCAGCGGGGAGGAAGGGAAUAAAGUUAAUACCUUGGCUUAUUGACGUUACCCGCAGAAUAAGCACCGGCUAACUCCGUG
rnacentral:rRNA from 1 species